UGUUAUUUGGGUUUUGGUUUUCAAUGACUGAAGAAAAGCGACGUCGUGCAGAGGCGUAAAAAGGAGGUGAAUGGUUGUAGCUUCAUUUUAGCCGUUUUGCAAAUUGCUCCCUGUGGCAGCCGACUUUUGAACUCAUUUUCAGACCAGCGAAAGGUUAUUUCAUUAUGGAGAUCAAGGCAGAUAUAAAAGACAACUCUCUCAUUCUGCUGAAGCAAGGAGCUGAAGCUAGAGUUUUUGAGUCAGCUUUUGUGGGAAGGAGGUCUAUUGUUAAGGAACGCUUCUCAAAGAAGUAUAGACAUCCAACUUUGGAUUCUAAACUUACUCUUAAGCGCUUAAAUGCGGAGGCCAGGUGCAUGACAAAAGCAAGACGACUUGGAGUUACUACUCCCUUGCUGUAUUCUGUCGAUCCUGUGCUGCAUACUCUAACGUUAGAAUUUGUGGAGGGUCCUUCUGUGAAAGAUGUAUUCCUUGAAUUUGGGUCACAUGGUGUUGUUGAAGAGCGGUUGGAUGAUAUUGCUUUACAAAUUGGUGAUGCAAUUGGAAAAUUACAUGAUGGUGGUCUCAUCCAUGGAGACUUGACCACAUCGAACAUGUUACUCAGGAGUGGUACCAAUCAGCUUGUCCUCAUUGACUUUGGUCUAAGCUUCACUUCAACCCUUCCGGAAGAUAAAGCUGUUGAUUUAUAUGUACUUGAACGGGCACUGAUCUCCAUGCAUUCUUCAUGUGGAAAUGUGAUGGAUCGGAUACUUGCUUCAUAUCGGAAGUCCUCAAAACAGUGGUCGUCCACAUUUAACAAGCUUGCUGAAGUGCGACAAAGAGGACGAAAGCGGACCAUGGUUGGAUAAGCCAUUUUGAAAUAUCUGUUCGCCAUCAAGGUAAAAGGGAAGGAUGUUCUAGUGGAGAGAGGAGUUUUCUAAGAUUAUUUCUUCACUCUUGAGUGUCAUGAGUUACCCUUUGCAUAAGAUGACGACUGCUAUAUGGUAUGGUUGGCAUGAAAUUUAGCCAUAUGCUGUUAAAUUGAUUUGGGACGCUACAAAGAAUUGAUAAUAAACUCCAGUUGGUCUACCCUAUUAUCAGUUUUUUUUUUUUUUUUCUUUUUCUUGGUGGGAGAACUUCACUGAACCAAAUGCCAAACUAUUGUGGGAAAGUGAGUAUUCUUCGGCUCACAUAUAAUUUUUAAGAUUGUGAUCCAAACUUGCUAGUAAGUGCCCAUAUUAUUUUGUUACCUAAGAUUUCAGUCUAAA